rnacentral:lncRNA from 1 species
ACAUCAGUAGGUGGAUUAACAGCGAUGGGUUUAACAUCAGUAGGUGGAUUAACAGCGAUAGGUUUAACAUCAGUAGGUGGAUUAACAGCGAUAGGUUUAACAUCAGUAGGUGGAUUAACAGCGAUGGGUUUAACAUCAGUAGUUGGAUUAACAGCGAUGGGUUUAACAUCAGUAGAUGGAUUAACAGCGAUAGGUUUAACAUCAGUAGGUGGAUUAACAGCGAUAGGUUUAACAUCAGUAGAUGGAUUAACAGCGAUGGGUUUAACAUCCGUAAGUGGAUUAACAGCGAUGGGCUUAACAUCAGUAGGUGGAUUAACAGCGAUGGGUUUAACAUCAGUAGGUGGAUUAACAGCGAUAGGUUUAACA